rnacentral:rRNA from 1 species
GACGAACGCUGGCGGCGUGCUUAACACAUGCAAGUCGAACGGAAAGGCCCUGCUUUUGUGGGGUGCUCGAGUGGCGAACGGGUGAGUAACACGUGAGUAACCUGCCCUUGACUUUGGGAUAACUUCAGGAAACUUGGGCUAAUACCGGAUAGGAGCUCCUGCUGCAUGGUGGGGGUUGGAAAGUUUCGGCGGUUGGGGAUGGACUCGCGGCUUAUCAGCUUGUUGGUGGGGUAGUGGCUUACCAAGGCUUUGACGGGUAGCCGGCCUGGGAGGGUGAGCGGCCACAUUGGGACUGAGAUACGGCCCAGACUCCUACGGGAGGCAGCAGUGGGGAAUAUUGAACAAUGGGCGGAAGCCUGAUGCAGCAACGCCGCGUGCGGGAUGACGGCCUUCGGGUUGUAAACCGCUUUCGCCUGUGACGAAGCGUGAGUGACGGUAAUGGGUAAAGAAGCACCGGCUAACUACGUG